rnacentral:rRNA from 1 species
UGGGGAAUUUUGGACAAUGGGCGCAAGCCUGAUCCAGCAAUGCCGCGUGAGUGAAGAAGGCCCUCGGGUUGUAAAGCUCUUUUGUCGGGGAAGAAACGCCGGAUGUCAAUACCAUCCGGUAAUGACGGUACCUGAAGAAUAAGCACCGGCUAACUACGUGCCAGCAGCCGCGGUAAUACGUAGGGUGCAAGCGUUAAUCGGAAUUACUGGGCGUAAAGCGUGCGCAGGCGGUACGUUAAGUCAGGUGUGAAAUCCCCGGGCUCAACCUGGGAAUGGCACCUGAUACUGGCGUGCUGGAGUGUGUCAGAGGGGGGUGGAAUUCCACGUGUAGCAGUGAAAUGCGUAGAGAUGUGGAGGAACACCGAUGGCGAAGGCAGCCCCCUGGGAUAACACUGACGCU